GUUAAAGCUGAUGCCUGCUGAAGAUUCUGUGAUGGUUGUACAUGCACAGCUAUAUCUUGGAUCUUGUUAUCAGAGUUGUGUGAUGAGAAGAUGAGUUUGCUCCUUAACACAUCCUGAAUUGUUUACACAGGAGUCCGUCAAUCGCCAUCAGCACUGCAGACGAAGGAGAACUGGAGACAGUAUGGCCACUGGUCAGUACCUAUUGGUGACCCUACUGUAAUGGUAACGUUCGGACUUCCCUCUCAAUCCUACCCGAAAACUACAGAACAUGGAGGAACCUACAGUUUGGAAACGAAAAGCAUUCCUUGUUGAGUUGUUGUACCACACGUUCUUGUAGUUCUAGU